rnacentral:lncRNA from 1 species
CGGCCGCCACUUUGCGUAGGAGCUGCGGCCGGGCGGGUACGGGGUGUGAUGGAAGGCCCGGGCCUGGGCUCGCAGUGCAGGAAUCAUAGCCAUGGAUCCCAUGUUCCAGGAUUUGGUCAACACGGCAUCUGUGCACAUGAAAACAAAGAACUUGCGAAAGCAAAAGAAAUUCUUCCUCUUAUAGAGGACUCCAGUAACUGUGACAUUGUCAAAGCUACACAAUACGGAAUUUUUGAACGAUGUAAAGAGCUGGUAGAAGCAGGAUAUGAUGUCAGACAACCAGACAGAGAAAAUGUGUCUCUUCUUCACUGGGCUGCCAUUAACAACAGGCUAGAGCUUGUAAAGUUUUAUAUUUCCAAAGGUGCUGUGAUAGAUCAGUUGGGUGGUGACUUAAAUUCAACUCCUCUUCACUGGGCCAUCCGACAAGGGCAUUUGCCUAUGGUCAUCUUGCUACUGCAGCAUGGUGCAGACCCCACUCUGAUUGACGGAGAGGGAUUCAGCAGCAUCCAUCUCGCAGUCCUGUUUCAGCACAUGCCCAUCAUAGCAUACCUCAUCUCUAAGGGACAGAGUGUGAAUAUGACAGAUGUCAAUGGACAGACACCUCUCAUGCUGUCAGCUUACAAAGUAAUUGGGCCAGAACCAACUGGAUUUCUUUUAAAGUUUAAUCCCUCUCUCAGUGCUGUUGAUAAAACACAUCAGAACACUCCACUUCACUGGGCAGUUGCUGCAGGAAAUGUUAGUGCAGUUGAUAAACUUUUGGAAGCUGGUUCUAGCCUGGACCUCCGAAAUGCUAAGGGAGAAACACCUCUUGAUAUGGCUGUACAAAAUAAAAACCAGCUCAUUGUUCACAUGCUAAGAACAGAAGCCAAGAUGAGAGCCAACAAAAAGUUUCGACUUUGGCAAUGGCUACACAAAUGUGAGCUCUUCCUGCUGCUGGUACUCUCCAUGAUCAGCCUGUGGGCUGUUGGAUACAUCCUGAACUUCAAUUCAGACUCUUGGCUUUUAAAAGGAUGUCUUCUAGUAGCAUUGUUGUUUCUGACAUCUUUGUUUCCAAGGUUUUUGGUUGGCUAUAAGAACCUUGUGUACUUACCAACAGUCUUUCUGCUAAGUUCCAUUUUUUGGAUAUUUAUGACUUGGUUCAUCUUAUUCUUUCCUGCAGCAGGCAGCCCUUUCUACUUUGCUUUUAUUUUCAGCAUCAUGGCCUUUCUCUAUUUUUUCUACAAGACUUGGGCAACUGAUCCAGGCUUCACUAAGGCUUCCGAGGAAGAGAGGAAAGUGAAUAUCGUCACCCUUGCAGAGACUGGCUCUCUGGACUUCAGAACAUUUUGCACAUCAUGUCUUAUAAGGAAGCCUUUAAGAUCACUCCAUUGCCACGUGUGCAACUCUUGUGUGGCUCGCUUUGAUCAGCACUGCUUUUGGACUGGACGCUGCAUAGGUUUUGGCAACCAUCAUCAUUACAUCUUCUUCUUGCUUUCCCUUUCCAUGGUGUGUGACUGGAUCAUAUAUGGAUCUUUCGUCUACUGGUCAAAUCAUUGUGCCACAACGUUCAAGGAAGACGGACUGUGGACCUACCUCAACCAGAUAGUGGCCUGCUCUCCCUGGGUUUUGUAUAUCUUCAUGCUCGCAGCUUUCCAUUUCUCAUGGUCGACAUUUUUAUUAAUAAACCAACUCUUCCAGAUCGCAUUUCUGGGCCUAACUUCACAUGAGAGAAUCAGCCUCUUAAAGCAAAGCAGGCACAUGAAACAGACAUUGUCCCUCAGGAAAACACCAUACAACCUCGGAUUCAUGCAGAACCUGGCAGAUUUCUUUCAGUGUGGCUGCUUUGGCUUAGUGAAGCCCUGCAUCAUAGAUUGGACAUCCCAGUACACCAUGGUUUUCCACCCAGCCAAAGAGAAAGUCCUUCGCUCCGUAUGAAGAAAAGCCCCUCAAAAUGCACUCGGACUUGUUUUUGUUUAUGCUGGUGCUCUGAGAUCUGAAAGUGAAGUGAGAUAUUCAGCUCCCCACAGUCAAAGUCUCUGGGAAUGAAGUCCUCAGCAAGAGUGUACCUUCUGUCAAACCUGGAAAGACAGCCUGUUACUGAGCAAUCUGGCAACAUCUUUUAAAAAAAUAUGAAAAUAUUUUCCCCAAGAACAUGAGUUACUUUUUUAAAAAAUCAUAAUAGUCACUGAUUAUGGAUAAAAGUAUUUUCAAAUACUAUAUUGGCUUUUUAAAAAUAGUACUCUUUAAACUUGUAAUUUUUGAUAAGUUAUUUGUCUUUGUUGUGUCUAUAAAUAUGUAAAGAAUAUUUAAAUAGAUGUAUCUGUUUUGCUUUCACACUUAAUAAAAACAUUUUUUAUACUUG